GGUUUUUAGAAAAUAAUUAAAAAUCAAUCCUGCCCAGUGCUUUUUAGUAAACGGCCGCAGUAUAUUGACUGUGCUAAGGUAGCAUAAUAAUUUGCCUUUUAAAUGAAGGAUAGAAUGAAUGGUUAGACGUAAAUUAGCUGUCUCAAUUUUACUAAUUUGAAAUUAAUUUUUAAGUGAAAAAGCUUAAAUACGUUAAAAAGACAAGAAGACCCUGUCGAAUUUAAAUGCUAUUUUUUUAAUUAAAGAUAAUGGAUUUUGGUUGGGGCAAUCAAAAAGGCAAACAAUCCUUUUUAUAUUUUAAUUUUGUUAGAAUUUUAUCCAAAAUUUUUGAAAAUAAAAUAAAUUACCGCAGGGAUAACAGCAUUAUUUUUUUUUGAAGUUCUUAUUUAAAAAAAAGGUUAUGACCUCGAUGUUGGACUAAGAUACCUUUUUGGCGCAAAAGCUUAUAAAGUUAGACUGUUCGUCUAUUAAAAUCUUACA
rnacentral:rRNA from 1 species